rnacentral:rRNA from 1 species
GCAGAGCAUCCUACGGGAGGCAGCAGUGGGGAAUAUUGCACAAUGGGCGCAAGCCUGAUGCAGCCAUGCCGCGUGUAUGAAGAAGGCCUUCGGGUUGUAAAGUACUUUCAGCAGUGAGGAAGGUGGGUAUGUUAAUAGCAUACUCAUUUGACGUUAGCUGCAGAAGAAGCACCGGCUAACUCCGUGCCAGCAGCCGCGGUAAUACGGAGGGUGCGAGCGUUAAUCGGAAUUACUGGGCGUAAAGCGCAUGCAGGUGGUUUGUUAAGUCAGAUGUGAAAGCCCCGGGGCUCAACCUCGGAAUUGCAUUUGAAACUGGCAAACUAGAGUACUGUAGAGGGGGUAGAAUUUCAGGUGUAGCGGUGAAAUGCGUAGAGAUCUGAAGGAAUACCGGUGGCGAAGGCGGCCCCCUGGACAGAUACUGACACUCAGAUGCGAAAGCGUGGGGAGCAAACAGGAUUAGAUACCCUGGUAG